rnacentral:pre_miRNA from 14 species
UUUUUGUUGUUGAUGGUUGUGAAAGACCCCUGGAUUGGGGAGACCCUCACUCAAGUCUCAGGAUGACGCGACCCCCCAAGAACUCACACAAGACC